GUUCUGAGUUCGUCUAUUGCUCGAGCUUGAGUUUGGAUUCCUAAAUGGCUAGACAAAACUCUCGUUUGGUUUGCUGCCCAGCAGAAGAUUUGGGAGUUGGAUCCAGCUGUGCUUUAUGAACUGAGUUGUUGAUGUGUUUUUGACACCGAGAUUUAGGCACAUCAAGUCAUGCUUGCAAGGGUUGAGAGCUAUCCAGCAGAUUCCGGAGAUUCACUAAGUAGCUGCCUGGCGAUUCGUAGCCUAGUGCUUCUCCCUCUAUCUUAUUUCCUUCUGUUUUAGUUAUGUAAUAGUUGAGUAGACUAUUUCAACUUGUAGUAUUAUUAUAGAUGCUCAUGACUGGUGAC